CGGCAUGUGGACAUGUCUGCUCCUCUUUGCUUGGGGAGUGGAAUGUAUCCAUAACAUGCUACAGUGAUGAAGGAGCUCUCAGGGCUGCCAACCUUACAGCAGAGGUUGAGUAGUAGUAUAGUGCGCCGACAUUC